rnacentral:rRNA from 2 species
UGGGGAAUAUUGGGCAAUGGGGGGAACCCUGACCCAGCAACGCCGCGUGAAGGAAGAAGGUUUUCGGAUUGUAAACUUCUGUCCUUGGUGAAGAGGAAGAGACGGUAGCCAAGGAGGAAGCCCCGGCUAACUACGUGCCAGCAGCCGCGGUAAUACGUAGGGGGCGAGCGUUGUCCGGAAUGAUUGGGCGUAAAGGGCGCGUAGGCGGCUCGGUAAGUCUGGAGUGAAAUUCCUGCUUUCAAGGUGGGAACUGCUUUGGAUACUGUCGGGCUUGAGUGCAGGAGAGGUAAGUGGAAUUCCCGGUGUAGCGGUGAAAUGCGUAGAGAUUGGGAAGAACACCAGUGGCGAAGGCGACUUACUGGGCCGUAACUGACGUUGAUGCGCGAAAGCGUGGGGAGCGAACAGG